UCUUCCUAAAUAAUAGAGGGAACAGGAGGUCCCAACACAAGUGAUCUAAAAGGUCUCAAAGUACCUGCAGGUGGAUGAAAAAUGCAUCCUUGAACUAUAGCCUGACCUAAGGCAAAGAAGAAAUAGCAUGCAACCAAUUCAAGUGUAGUUAGCAGAAUGCCUUUUAUUUAAAAUAUUUUGGGAAUCUGAUAAUUAAUUUUAAUUGUAAUUAGUUUGUUCAGUCAAGAGUUGGAGAAGGCCAGAAUAAGUAUAUUGUCCUGACUACAAACCCUCUCUACAAACUGAAAGGGGCGGGUAUUUUGAAAUGGCAAAAUUAUCAUCAAAUUCGGCAGUGGAUGCACUAGUUUUCCUACAACUGCUAUUAUAGCAGUACUAAUGACUUCCACUUGUGCUGGAUCACAUCGAACGACCGUACCACAAGGCUCCCUGUAUCCCGAGGGAUGCUCUAGCUCCUCAGCAGCACAUAUAUAACCUGAUGUCAGACAACACCGUCUCCAAUGGCAGCAGCAUCCAUCAGCUGCCACGAGCCAGGAAAGAAAGCAGCUGUUUCCAAAUCUUUUUGAAAUGAUGUGUAAUACACUCAGCUGAACCUCCCUUGCUCUCCCCUGGGAUGUAUUCUAAAUAUUAUGAAUUUGUAUUAUUAAUACUGUAUGAGUGUUAGAAUAUUUAUUGUAAGUGUGGGGCCUUAACAUUUGUACAACUCAAGUGUGCCUAGGGAUUCUCUCACUAAGUGCUGAUAUGCAACUGCUCCCAGAUCAGUGUAAAUAUCACAGAACAAGACUGCAGAAGAGUUUAAGGCAGAAAGUAAAAAAUGUCAUAUUAUUCAGCAGAGCUAAUGCUGGAAAGUAUGCAGAUGCAUGACAGGCAGCCAAGAGUGAAUUUUGACAGGGCUUUAGGCAGCCAGUCUGGCAAAAGUGCAAUGAGAUUGUUAAUGAACAAGAGAUCAAUAGUCUUUUAAUUUCUCCACCUGAAGUGCUGCAAAAUGCUCCCUGUAACACAAGGUUUUCCACAAAAGGAAGUCAACUGCUUGCUAAUCAAAACUACUUUCUGUAGCAGUGGUAUGCCUCACAAAUUGCCCUUUAAGAAACUGUUCCUGAUUUACUUGCGAAUCAAAUUGCACUUGCGGUCCAGUGCGGGUUUGCUGUAACAGGAGAAAGCAACAAGGGAGGACACCUACUGAUAUAUUACUUUUUUAUUUUAUUAGCAGAAACCAUGUUAAAGCCAAUUAAAUUUCAUCGAACAGAAAACAGUUGUGCUCUUCUGGACAUUCCUGUAAAGGUUUAAAGCUAAAAUUGAGUGACGCCAACAGAAGCUGUUAAUUAUAAUUGUUGUUAAUAAAGAGGGAGCAAAAAUGAAGCCAGAAUUUGAAACUAUUGCUGCUGAUUUAGCAGAUUUUUUAAUAAGGCUUCGUGUAUGAAAACUGUUCUCAAAACUCAAGCUAAUAUUCCAGCAACACCAAGACUGCUCAUCACAAGCAAGCUGAUUUUUUGAUUUUCAGUCUGCAAGAAUGCAUUAAAUUUUUAUUUAAUU